AAUCAACGCUGGCGGCGUGCCUCAGACAUGCAAGUCGAACGCGAAAUUUCCCUUCGGGGAGAAAGUAGAGUGGCGCACGGGUGAGUAACACGUAGGUAAUUUGCCUUUGGGUGGGGAAUAACUCAGGGAAACUUGAGCUAAUACCGCAUAAUGCAGCGGCUCGACAUCGAGACAGUUGUUAAAGCGGGGGAUUCGCAAGAACCUCGCGCCUGAAGAGAAGCCUGCGGCAGAUUAGCUAGUUGGUAGGGUAAUGGCCUACCAAGGCAACGAUCUGUAACCGGCCUGAGAGGGCGGUCGGUCACACUGACACUGACAUACGGGUCAGACUCCUACGGGAGGCAGCAGUCGGGAA
rnacentral:rRNA from 1 species